rnacentral:rRNA from 1 species
UACGAAGGUGGCGAACGAUGCUCGGAUUCACUGGGCGUAAAGGGAUUGUAGGCGGCUAUUUAAGUCAGAUGUGAAAGCCCGGGGCUUAACCCCGGAAUGGCAUUUGAAACUGGAUAGCUAGAGUAAGGUAGAGGAGAAUGGAAUUCCCAGUGUAGAGGUGAAAUUCGUAGAUAUUGGGAGGAACACCAGAAGCGAAGGCGAUUCUCUGGACCUUAACUGACGCUGAGGAUCGAAAGCGUGGGUAGCAAACAGG